rnacentral:rRNA from 1 species
AGUGAACGCUGGCGGUAGGCCUAACACACGCAAGUCGAACGGCAGCACAGGAGAGCUUGCUCUCUGGGUGGCGAGUGGCGGACGGGUGAGGAAUACAUCGGAAUCUACCUUUUCGUGGGGGAUAACGUAGGGAAACUUACGCUAAUACCGCAUACGACCUACGGGUGAAAGUGGGGGACCGCAAGGCCUCACGCGAUUAGAUGAGCCGAUGUCCGAUUAGCUAGUUGGCGGGGUAAUGGCCCACCAAGGCGACGAUCGGUAGCUGGUCUGAGAGGAUGGUCAGCCACGAUGGAAGUGAGACACGGUGCAGACUCCUACGGGAGGCAGCAGUGGGGAAUAUUGGACAAUGGGCGCAAGCCUGAUCCAGCCAUACCGCGUGGGUGAAGAAGGCCUUCGGGUUGUAAAGCCCUUUUGUUGGGAAAGAAAUCCUAUCGGUUAAUAACCGAUGGGGAUGACGGUACCCAAAGAAUAAGCACCGGCUAACUUCGUGCCAGCCGCCGCUGUAA